rnacentral:rRNA from 1 species
GUUAAGCGACUAAGCGUACACGGUGGAUGCCCUGGCAGUCAGAGGCGAUGAAGGACGUGCUAAUCUGCGAUAAGCGUCGGUGAGGUGAUAUGAACCGUUAUAACCGGCGAUUUCCGAAUGGGGAAACCCAGUGUGUUUCGACACACUAUCAUUAACUGAAUCCAUAGGUUAAUGAGGCGAACCGGGGGAACUGAAACAUCUAAGUACCCCGAGGAAAAGAAAUCAACCGAGAUUCCCCCAGUAGCGGCGAGCGAACGGGGAGGAGCCCAGAGCCUGAAUCAGUGUGUGUGUUAGUGGAAGCGUCUGGAAAGGCGUGCGAUACAGGGUGACAGCCCCGUACACAAAAAUGCACAUAUUGUGAGCUCGAUGAGUAGGGCGGGACACGUGGUAUCCUGUCUGAAUAUGGGGGGACCAUCCUCCAAGGCUAAAUACUCCUGACUGACCGAUAGUGAACCAGUACCGUGAGGGAAAGGCGAAAAGAACCCCGGCGAGGGGAGUGAAAAAGAACCUGAAACCGUGUACG